CUUGGUCAUUUAGAGGAAGUAAAAGUCGUAACAAGGUCUCCGUUGGUGAACCAGCGGAGGGAUCAUUAAAGAGUUGCAAAACUCCCUUUAAACCAUCGCGAACGUUACCCACGACGCCGUUGCCUCGGCGGAGCGUCGCCCCGUGCCGUCAAAAGCACGGGGCGGCGCCCGCCGGGAGACCGGCACAACCAAACUCUUAUAACCAUUGGCCUCUCUGAGUAAGAUUUUUAAAUAAGUCAAAACUUUCAACAACGGAUCUCUUGGUUCUGGCAUCGAUGAAGAACGCAGCGAAAUGCGAUAAGUAAUGUGAAUUGCAGAAUUCAGUGAAUCAUCGAAUCUUUGAACGCACAUUGCGCCCGCCAGUAUUCUGGCGGGCAUGCCUGUUCGAGCGUCAUUUCAACCAUCAAGCCCUGCUUGUGUUGGGGUCCUGCGGCUGCCCGCAGGCCCUGAAAACCAGUGGCGGGCUCGCUAGUCACACCGAGCGCAGUAGCACAUCUCGCUUUGGUCGUGCGGCGGGUUCUUGCCGUAAAACACCCCCCUUUUAUCAAGGUUGACCUCGGAUCAGGUAGGAAUACCCGCUGAACUUAAGCAUAUCAAUAAGCGGAGGA
rnacentral:rRNA from 1 species